AAAAUCACAAAAAAUAAAAUGAAAACUAAAAUAAAUUUAAAAUGAAAACUAUUCUAAAUAUUAAUAAAAACUAUAAAUAAUACUAAACACUUUCUCAAUGUUUUAGGGUGUUACAUUGCAGCUAUUCUGAUAAAAGCCCAUCAAGUAUUCUUCAUCCUUAUAACCUGCUAAAAAUCACAAUUAAACCUACAAAAGCUGUUUUCUGGUCUUACAUGGUUUAAGCUGGUCUCCUCUUCUGCAACAUAAGCUAAAAAAAGUGCUCCAACUCAACUAAAACCAGCCAGCAAAUUGGCCAAAAUCCAAUAGGCCAACCUAAGCUGGUUUAAGAUCAUUUUGUUCAGCAGGGUGUAAGUCUCCUUAAUUUGGUACCACACAAAUACCGCUAAUAAAAGAAUGAUAUUUAAACAGCAGAAAAUAAAUAUAUUCUGAGGGUAAUGCCAGGAAUCCAGUCGCAUAAGUGCACCCAGUCGUGUAGCUAUUAUUGCAUAUGCAAAUAUGAAUGAGUAUCCAGAUGUGCUGAAGCAGAACUGGUCUAUUAUUGUAUUAAAGUGGUUCUGGAUAUUAUUAACUGAAGAGACUGAAGGAGAGCGGUUGGUAUCAGACCUCUUAAGGGUGUCUACAGUUAAAGACGGCAGUCUGGGAAACAACAGCAGGUGUCUGUGGUGACCGAUAAGGCAGACAAGGCACAGACUCCAUAUUAUCUCUAAUUAGUCUCUAAGCGACUCAAGCAAACUUUACUAUCAGACAUUUGCAGGUCAGAAGCAGGAGCUGGAGAAGAACUCAGAGUGACCUUAACAUGGUAAUGGCAUUGCUGCAGAGGUCCUUGGUCAUACUUCAAGUUUCGGAAAAUGGACGCUGAGGAAUGUCAAAAAUCAUCCCUUGGUAUGAGAUCACUUCCACAAUGAUUCAAACUGAACCUGUCCAGAGACAUACUUUGUCAAAACAGCAUGUGAACGCCCACACAAGAAUCCUGAAACUUGACAUAUUCAAACCAAACAGAGUUAUAACAGAUCCAUUCCUCAAACACACUGCCACCAGAGGCGCAUUUGUCUCCCUGGCACAGGACAAACACUUAGUGUACAGUCUUUGGGUUUGGGUCAAAAAAGUACAUCGCAGUUCACAUCUGUAAUGUUGCCUUUGAAGUAUAUAACACAGUACAGUAAAGAAAAAAAUGUAUAAACAGAGUUGUAAAAGGAAAAAUUACCAGUUUUAGCAACAGUUUUUGCUCUGUGUGAAACCAGUUUCAUGCUCUAAAAAUACACCAAAUAAAAAAUAAAAUUAUAAAAAAGAUGAUUGUGAG
ensembl:lncRNA